UUACAUUCAGCAAAAACCGUUCAUCAUGUUCGCUGUUAUAUUCGUGUCUCUGUGGCUUUCACUAGGUGACUCCAUGGCAGAUUCAAUAGAGCCACUUUCAACUCAUAAUGUUGUGGAUGAAGGUGACAAUAUUACUCUGUCCUGCAGCUACAAAUUCAGUGCUGUUUCAGGAAGCAACAACCUGCACUGGUACAGGCAAUAUCCAACAUCUAACCCUGAGUUCAUUCUUAAUAUUCUUCAAAGUGGAGAGCUAAUUUCCAACACUGACCCUAGAAUGUCUGCUAAAAUCGAUGAUAAACAAGUGGAUCUGAUCAUCUCCUCUGCUGCUGUAUCAGACUCUGCUGAUCCCAUUAGGGUUGGUUUAGCUGAUCCCAGUGGCUGGGUUGGUUCUGUACUAAGGCCACAGUGA